GACGAACGCUGGCGGCGUGUUAACACAUGCAAGUCGAACGGUAAGGCCCUUCGGGGUACACGAGUGGCGAACGGGUGAGUAACACGCGGGUGAUCUGCCCUGCCCCUUGGGAUAAGCCCGGGAAAAUGGGUCUAAUACCGGCACGGAACAUGGGCUUCACGGUGUGGGGUGGGAAGCUUUUGCGGUGUGGGAUGGGCCCGCGGCCUAUCAGCUUGUUGGUGGGGUAAUGGCCUACCAAGGCGACGACGGGUAGCCGGCCUGAGAGGGUGACCGGCCACACUGGGACUGAGAUACGGCCCAGACUCCUACGGGAGGCAGCAGUGGGGAAUAUUGCACAAUGGGCGCAAGCCUGAUGCAGCGACGCCGCGUGAGGGAUGACGGCCUUCGGGUUGUAAACCUCUUUCAGUAGGGACGAAGCGCAAGUGACGGUACCUACAGAAGAAGGGCCGGCCAACUACGUGCCAGCAGCCGCGGUAA
rnacentral:rRNA from 1 species